AAUUUUUCCACUUCAAAGUUGCUACAGGGUCAGGCAUGAGCACCUGCAGAGUUAACAUGGCUGUACAACAUAUUCACCUUGAAGCCUUUUGUAGCUGGUCCCAGCACAAAAAAAGGUGGAAUGGGCUGCCAUCAAAGCUUCAAGAUGCCCCAAGAAACAAGACUCGUUGUCCUAUGUCUGCUUAAUGAGAAAACGUAAUCCAUCUGGUUAUAAAACCUCAGCAGAAUACCAUACAAUGUAUCUCUUGGCUAGACAUAUGUUGUUGUUCAACUUUUAAGAAGAGCUAAAGAUCAAGGAAUUAGCAUGAAAAAUGUUCUAAAUUACAUCAUGACUGAAGAUUUUGCAAAUUUCCUCCCCUCUGAAGUUUACAAAAUGAUGUUUGCUAUUGUCACUUUGGAUUCUGCUGAAAUUGCGGGAUAUGUUUUGUACCAUUGUUGCUGCAGAGAAGAGCUCUGGAAGAGCUGUGCCAUGGCAGAUGUCUGAAGGAGAGAUUCCAUAUGGUUUUCAGAGGAGAAAAAUAGAGGAAAGAAGAAAGGAAAGGUGCUGAGAAAGGUAAAUAUUUAUACUUGCACAUGUGAUGAACAUCUCUGAAAAUUUAAUCUGUGGAAAAAGAUCUAUAUACCUUAAAUGAAAAAGAGAGGUAAAAACUACCCCACAGAUUCUGUCUAUAAAACUAUUUGAUGGGAUAUUUCAGGCUUUUAUAUCUUGUCCUGUACCUUGUUUUUAACUUCCUUUUAAAUAUUUUUAUCUUUGGAAUAAAGUGUAUAAUUUUUAAGUUGUACA
rnacentral:lncRNA from 1 species